UUGUUUCGUUUGCGUGUGUUUUGUGAUACCGAAAGUUUUUCUCACAUUAUUUCUGUGCCGAAAUGGAAGACUCAGAAUUAGCCUUUGUCAACAUUAUAAAAGAUUACCCCGCAAUCAUCAGUAAAUCGCAAACUCUGGCCGCAAGAAGGGAGAAGGCAGAUUGUAUUAAGGAAAUACAACACCGUUAUAGGGUUAGUUUCCGGGAAAGAAAUUACAGACGGGCAGAUAAUGGACAAACUGCACAACAUGAAAUCCCUUAUUGAGGCCAAGUCGGAUGUUAAUAAGAUGGCAACCAUUAAGAUUUCCCUGAAAAAUUGAGAGCAGACAUUUUUGAAGUUUUUGGACGGAGAUGACUGCAACCCAACUAUCCACAGAGUUCUUGGAGCUUGUGCAGUAGGUGGUGGUUGCACCUCUGUCAUCUCUUCACCACGAAAUUCGGAGGUAGCUGACAGACUGCACCUUGUAUGAACAAGAAUCAAUGUUGCAGCUACCACAAAUAGUUGCAGCCGACCCUAUGGAUCUCAUGGGCCCCGAAGUCGUCAUACCUGCUCAGUCGCCUGCUUCGGGGCAUGAGAGAGUGCCUAAUUGUCAGAGAUUGAGUAUGGAAACAGAUGAGACAGUUAAUUUGUCUACUUCAGAGCUGCAAAGGCUGGUGCUAUUAUACCAAUUAGACAUAUUGAAACGAAAGCAGCAGAAAUUGAUGCGUGAUGAAGAGAAACAAUAAAAACAUUGUGUAGUGUCUUAUUUACAUACCGAAUUUUAUCAAUAAAAACAUCUUUUUUAAGUGAA